UUCGAUAAAUCUGCAGAAGUUUCUGCGGU
rnacentral:sRNA from 1 species